GAUGAACGCUGGCGGCGUGCCUAAUACAUGCAAGUCGAGCGAACAGACGAGGAGCUUGCUCCUUUGACGUUAGCGGCGGACGGGUGAGUAACACGUGGAUAACCUACCUAUAAGACUGGGAUAACUUCGGGAACCGGAGCUAAUACCGGAUAACAUGUUGAACCGCAUGGUUCAACAGUGAAAGACGGUCUUGCUGUCACUUAUAGAUGGAUCCGCGCCGCAUUAGCUAGUUGGUAAGGUAACGGCUUACCAAGGCAACGAUGCGUAGCCGACCUGAGAGGGUGAUCGGCCACACUGGAACUGAGACACGGUCCAGACUCCUACGGGAGGCAGCAGUAGGGAAUCUUCCGCAAUGGGCGAAAGCCUGACGGAGCAACGCCGCGUGAGUGAAGAAGGUCUUCGGAUCGUAAAACUCUGUUAUUAGGGAAGAACAAAUGUGUAAGUAACUAUGCACGUCUUGACGGUACCUAAUCAGAAAGCCACGGCUAACUACGUG
rnacentral:rRNA from 1 species